rnacentral:lncRNA from 1 species
CAAAGAUAAUUUUGUCCAAACACAUAACGAACUAAAUAGUUUAAACCAAACACAUCAUGUACGGAGUCAAGUGCCUAUUAAAACAACUUUAAGGAGGUCAAGUAUUUUUUAUGCUCAUAAUACCCAAUACCUUUGUCGCCUCUUCAUCCAUACUCCACUUCUGGAAAAAGAAGGAAAAGAACCAAGGAGGCCCUGAAACUGGCAAGAAUUUACUUUUAAGGAUAAUUUUUUCUUCCCAGCUUUGCAAUCUACGUUAUAGACUGUACAGCUUCUAGCUUCUGAUCUUUUGGACAUAAAUCAGGAAUUCAGCUGUUUCAAGGAAACAUGCCCUCAAGAUAUUCAUCAAUGUUUUCAUCAACAUUGUCGUUGUCAUCCCUUGUUGAAGUUGAAGCCUUUCUUCCCUAUAAAGAAACAUGCAAGACAAGUAUAAGGAAGCUAACCCUGAGAUAAGAAAUAAGACAUCGUUUUAGAUAUUUUAUUUUUCAUGUGGAGUUCCGAAAUCAGCAACGUAUUCAAUCUGCUAGCCAACAUACUGAUUCUGCAAAAACUGCAUCAGUUAAAUAGCUAAGCGAGGCUAAAUGGUUUUUCAGACAAAACCCUGGCCACCAAAUGGGAUUUCUCGUCCACUGGAAGACAUGAAACUACUUCACAUCAUCCAUAUCUAUUAUAGUAGAGCUAAAAGAUGCCCAAUACAUGAACAUAUGAGGCCAUGUACCAAAGCUAAAGACCGCGUCUAUUACAGUGAAAAAAUAGCUUCACCAAACUUUUAGCUUCUCUACGUUGUAAUUGAAGUAUUCAGACAUAGCAAUACUAUCUGUACAGAAUUAGAAACUUGGCUAAAGCUAAUUAACACGUGCUUAUUACACAGCUAGUACUUAACAAGAGGUGAAUGCAAAACACAAAAGCAAAAGGUUGCGUCCAAAUUCUCCCAUCAUAAUGGACAGGAAAUAUUGAGAAGAUUCAAGUCAAAGAACACACCAAAAAUUUUUCACAAUCAAAACUAUAUAUCAUAGAGAAAAACUAAUAGAUGCAAGUUCCUGCAAUUAGUAGAUGUCAAUUUCCUACUAUUUCAUGGCUUUUUACUUUUUAGUAAGUCCUUAGUCCAGAUAACUAGCUUUUUUCUAAGAACGGUUUCUUUUAUAUGUUUGCACCAGAGUGAGCCUUGAUAGAUGCAGAAGUUGUAUGCACUCUUUGGUCUUUAAAUAUUUCAAGUAACUUGUAACAGUUAAGACAUGUUCAAUUCAGUAAACAAAUUUUCACAAAUGCAUGACACGUGACCAAAAUUUAUGAAUUUAACUAUAAGAAGGAUCAAAACUUGUUCGAGCUUGCUAAGAAAAUGCUCUAGUGUCAGAGACAAGUUGAGUGAAGACAGCCACCCAUACUUCAUAGGCGUUGAAGAAUUAACUGCAUUAAAGUGCAGAUAUUAAUGUAGGUAAACAGCAUUGUAAUCAACUAAUUAAUUUCAGAAAGCACCAAAAAUUAAAAUCAGCAACAAUUCAGAGAGAAAACUUCAAGUGAAAAUCAGCAACAAAUUGUUCCGAAUAAAUGGAUCACUUUCAAAGUUUCAGUUUCAUUUGUGUUUUUCUUUCUUUGAAAAACUAUCAUGCUUUAAAGAAGGCCAAAAGCGUGCCAUAUUAAGGACACCACUUGCUAAAAAAUCAAGGUCCGAAUGUGUGACCAAAUACUGACACGUUCCUCCUACUCCUGUAUCAGAAAUAAGGACGGCUAAUUAUGUUCUCAACUAUCUAAUUAAGAACCCACUUCAUCCAUUAUUCUGACAUGCAUACUGCCAUACAAUAAAAUUGUUAAUAUCAAACCUGUUCUCUUAUCCUUCCUCCUGUCAUAAUGACUGUCUGAAUCAUCAUCACUUUCUGAUCUUUCCCUGGAAAUAUGCCAGAAAUCAGAGGAAUGAGAAUAAAAGAAUCUUGUGGAUGUAGGUACCAGGUGGCUAAUGAGAUGCACCUUUUCCUUGAAUGCUCUACAUAUUCCCUCUAUACUGAUUGUUUAUCUCUUUCUGGUUCUUGUAAAGAAGCUUUUCCGCACAACUGUUUUGAACAAAACGCAUAAGAUGCAGCUGUCAAAAUGAAAUAUAAAUUUCACCAGGUUGUUAACCCACCAAAUUAUGACCUGAAGAUGAAGUAUUUUAUUUUACUUUUUGAUAUCAAACAUGAGAUUUUAUUAAUGUACAUCCGCCACUGCAGCGGAGAUUGCAUCAGAUGGAAAACAAUCCCACCAAACAGCACGAUGAACAAGGGAAAGAGCACUAAGAGAUAAAAGAUGAGCAGAAACAUUUCCUUUCCACUUAUCAUGUACUCCAGAAACCUGAUCAAAAUAAAAAAGUAACAUUCUCACUUCGAGAACUAGGUGUCCAAUCACUCAGAGAUCAUCUUUGGCGUCAUUAACCUUCCAAACACUAUUAAGAGAGUCCCCUGCAAUGACUAAGUGACUGAUCCAAACAUUGUUCACAAAGAGGAGCUUCAAGAAAAGCUAGAAGCAUAACAUGACUAACAUCUAAGGCAUCAUAAAUUCUUUCUGUGAAAGCUACUUGAACAAUCCCAGAGUGGUCCUGAACUGCAACUCCAAUUCCCGUAACAUCACCAUGUAAAGCCCCAUCCACAUUAAUUUUAAGCACCUCAGACCCAGGUGGUAUCCAUUAUCUUGCCACCAUCCGCCCUAAAUUUGUAUUCAAUCAUGUCAAUAUUUUGCUUUAGGCUAGACAAAUAUUUUUAACACCGUUGACACAGAAUCAUGAACCAGGGAUGAAACUAAAAUGUCUUGUUUUUUUCUGCCCAUUCCUGAAAGAUCCGUAGUUCCCUAAUGUUGUCGGAUCUACGCUAAAUUGAUUUCUCAGAGGUCUUUGUUAAGAGAAUAUAAGUAUUCUUAUAGAUAAUAAAUUAGUAAGGGUAUUCUUGUAAAUAGUUUAUUAGGUUUGUACUCCUAUAAAUACUAAUUGGUCACUUAUAAUACCGUGACUAAAUGUUUUCCUCCCAAGAUACCUGUUGUCAUGGUAUCAGAACAAAAGUCCUAGAGUUAGGGUUAAACAUCUAGCAAAAGUCUUGACGCGAUACUGUUCAUCGCACACUGUUCACGCGAUACUAUUCACGCAUACUGUUCACGCGGUACUGUUCAUCGCACGUACUGUUCACCCGGUACUAUUCACGAGCACUGUUCACGCGCACUGUUCAUAGCGAAUUUUGAUUGCUGUUUUGUUUGAAGUGCUAUUCGCUAUGGUUGAAAGUUUUGCUAAUGGGGUUACCAUUAAUCAAGUUGAAUCAAGUUCUUCAGUACAUGGGUCCCAGAAAACUGUUACUAUAUCCGAGGAAGAUUAUAUUAAAUUCUUACAGUACCAAGCUACAAGUCACGCAUCUCUUCCCUCUGCUUCUUUAGCACAAAAAGGUAAUGACUCAUGGAUUAUUGACUCCGGGGCUACUAAUCAUAUGUCAGGUACCUCUAAAAUUUUUUCUAAUUUUCAAGAGUCUACUUCCUUUCCUCAUGUUACUUUAGCUGAUGGAUCUACCACUAAAGUUAAAGGACUAGGCACUGUAGAAAUUAAUCCAUCACUUCCGCUGUCUUCUGUUCUUUACGUACCCAAUUUGCCAUUUAAUCUAAUGUCUGUUAGUAAGCUCACUAAAUUUCUACAGUGUACAGUUACUUUUUCUCCUGAUUCCGUUGUCAUUCAGGAUUUGAAGACAAAGAGGACGAUUGGUGGAGGGCAUGAGCAUAAUGGUCUUUACUUUCUCAACUUCAAUGGUCCGAUAGCAUGCCCUGCUCCUGUUUCUCCUCUUGAAAUUCACUGUCGUUUAGGUCAUCCGUCUUUACAAAAUUUGAAAAAGUUGGUUCCUACUUUGAAUCAAUUAUCUUCGUUAGAAUGUGAGUCUUGUCAGUUAGGAAAGCAUCAUCGUGUUUCUUUUGCUCCUAAAGUCAAUAAACGGGUUUCUGAACCCUUUUUGUUAGUUCAUUAUGAUGUUUGGGGUCCUAGUCGAGUCACUUCAAAGUUAGGUUUUAAAUAUUUUGUAGUCUUUGUUGAUGAUUUUUCCAGAGUUACAUGGCUUUAUUUAAUGAAAGAUCGUUCAGAAUUAUAUUCCAUUUUUUGUGCAUUUGUUACAGAAAUAAAGAAUCAAUUUGGUGUGCCUGUACGUAUACUUCGCAGUGAUAAUGCGAAAGAAUAUUUUUCCACUCCUUUUAAUACCUUUAUGACUAAGUCUGGUAUUAUUCAUCAGUCCUCUUGUCCUCACACUCCACAACAGAAUGGAGUUGUUGAAAGGAAAAUUGGACAUUUAAUCGAAAUUGCUCGAACACUGUUGUUGCACAUGAAUGUGCCCAAACAAUUUUAGAGUGAUGCAGUUCUAACUGCAUGUUAUUUAAUUAAUCGCAUGCCAUCUAAUAUUCUUGAAAGUCAAUUACCUCACUCCAUUUUUUUUCCUCAUGAACCUGUGUUUAAAUUGCCUCCUCGUAUUUUUGGAUGUGUGUGUUUUGUUCAUCAGCUUGCUCCCGGGGUGGAUAAAUUAGAUUCUCGUGCUAUUAAGUGUAUUUUCUUAGGAUAUGCACGAGCGCAAAAAGGGUAUAGAUGUUACAGUCCAGUUUCAAAUCGAUUUUUUACUUGUGCUGAUGUUACUUUCUUUGAAUCCACUCCGUAUUUUAUCAAACAAAGUAUGUCUUGUGAGUUAGACCAGUGUCCCUCUUUUUCCUCUCCUGUUUUACCAGUCCCUUCCCAUUUAUUACCUGAGUUAUCUAGUCCACCAGAUUCCAUAGCUCGAUUAUCUCGUCCUCAUUUUCAAGUUUACUCUCGUCGUUCCAUGGUUGAGAAAGUUCCUGAUAUGCCACGCACUUCACCAAUUAACUCUCAAUCUUCCAAUCCAGGUAUGACGCCCUCCUCUGAGUUAGAUCUUCCUAUUGCUUUACGCAAAGGUAAGAGAAAUUGUACUUCCCAUCCUAUUUCUAAUUUUGUUUCUUAUUCUCGUCUCUCUAUGUCAUAUUCUUCUUUUGUUGCUUCCCUUGAUUCUAUCUCCAUUUCUAAGUCUAUUACCUAUGCUCUUAAUCAUCCUGGUUGGAGAUUAGCUAUGCAAGAAGAGAUGUCUGCUUUGGAACAAAAUGGUACUUGGGAUCUUGUCCCUCGUCGUUCAGGUAAGCAUGUUGUUGGUUGUAAAUGGGUGUACACUAUAAAAGUGCAGCCUAAUGGUUCUAUUGAUAGAUUGAAGGCUCGGCCGGUAGCUAGAGGAUUUACUCAGGUGUAUGGAGUAGAUUACUUAGAAACAUUUCUCCUGUUGCAAAGAUUACCUCUGUUCGUCUUCUUAUCUCUUUGGCAGCAACUUAUAAUUGGUCAUUGCAUCAGUUGGAUGUGAAAAAUGCAUUUCUGCAUGGAGAUUUGAAAGAAGAGGUAUAUAUGGAACAACCUCCUGGAUUUGUUGUUCAGAGGGAGAAUCCGCGGUUGGUUUAUCGUUUGAAAAAAUCCUUAUAUGGAUUGAAACAGUCUCCGAGGGCUUGGUUUGGCCGGUUUAGUAGUGUUGUCAUGGAGUUCGGUCUGACAAGAUGUGGAGUAGAUCACUCUGUAUUUUAUCGGCAUUCUAAUGCUGGUAAAAUUUUAUUAGUUGUUUAUGUGGAUGACAUUGUGAUUACAGGUGAUGAUGUUGUGGGGAUUCAGAAACUUAAAUCCAAUCUGCAGGCAAACUUUCAGACAAAGGAUUUAGGUCAUCUACAGUAUUUUCUGGGUAUUGAGGUAACUCGGUCUAAAUAUGGGAUUUAUUUAUGUCAAAGAAAAUAUGUACUCGAUAUGUUGAGUGAAGUUGGGAUGUUAGGUUGCCGACCUGUAGAUACCCCUAUGGAUCCUAAUGUGAAAUUAGCAAGAGAUCAAGGUGCAUUACUUGAUAAUCCUAAGCAAUAUCGAAGACUUGUGGGUAAAUUAAAUUAUCUCACUGUAACGAGACCUGACAUUUCGUUUGCAGUGAGUAUUGUGAGUCAAUUUCUUGAUACCCCUCGUACUAGUCAUUGGGAUGCUGUUAUACGGAUUCUCAAGUAUCUUAAGAGUGCUCCUGGAAAAGGGUUGCUGUAUCAAAAUCAUGGACACACUGAUAUUGAAGGAUAUAGUGAUGCAGAUUGGGCUGGUUCUACCUCAGAUCGAAUAUCGACUACAGGAUAUUGUGUGUUUGUUGGUGGUAAUUUAGUGUCGUGGAAGAGUAAGAAGCAAACAGUUGUAUCCAGAUCAAGUGCAGAAUCUGAAUACCGCGCUAUGGCUCACACUGUGUGUGAGUUGGUUUGGUUGAAGAGCAUGUUACUGGAACUUGGGUUUGAGCAUAAACAGACUAUGAAUUUAGUGUGUGAUAAUCAGGCGGCUGUUCAUAUUGCGUCUAAUCCAGUGUUCCAUGAAAGGACAAAACAUAUUGAAGUUGAUUGUCAUUUCAUUCGAGAGAAAUUGCUUGACGGGAUCAUCAAGACAUCUCAUGUACCGUCUGUAGAUCAAUUGGCUGAUGUGUUUACCAAGAGUUUAGGGGGCUUUAGGGUGAAAUAUAUUUGUAACAAGUUGGGUGCUUAUGAUAUAUAUGCUCCAACUUGAGGGGGAGUGUUAAGAGAAUAUAAGUAUUCUUGUAGAUAAUAAAUUAGUAAGGGUAUUCUUGUAAAUAGUUUAUUAGGUUUGUACUCCUAUAAAUACUAAUUGGUCACUCAUAAUACCGUGACUAAAUGUUUUCCUCCCAAGAUACCUGUUGUCAGUCUUAAUAGUAAUGAAAUAUAAGCAGAAGCUACUAAAAGAGCAAUGCUCCUGAGGUAGCAUGGGAAACAUAUUGACCUUAACUUUGAUUUCAAAACUUAGUGGUAGACCCUUUAAGAAUCGGAAGAUAGUUUCAGAACUUAUAGAUCUGAAGUCUGAGAAUGGGAGUUUAGAAGUAGGAUAUGAGGAGAGAGCAAGAGAAUUAAGAAACUCUAGGAAUCCAAACAAGAUUUGCCUAGGUUUAUUUACGUAGUGACGUUGUUCUCAAUUCUCAAGGAAAUCACAAAACUAAAUAAACUCAACAUAACAUCAAAUGUCAACUAGGUUCUGAUCUCCCAAAUACACUUCUUUACAUUGCCAACAAAAGCACUUCUUACUCUAAUGCUAUUAAAAAUGUUGCUUAAAUAUAGAUACCAUAUCUCCCAGCUACACAUUUCCUAACUUCUCAGCUAAUAUAUUAAAGAGAAAAGCUAGUCUUCAAGGCAAAGUCUUCUCAAGGACUAAGAAAACCUUGUAACUAAGUAAACCUAAUCACUACAAGGGCUAAAAGCUAUAGAUUUAAGAAGCCAAAAUGAAUUUGACAACUCCAGCAGUUUAACUUCCUCUAGGACAAAAUACUAAGUACUAUGAUAUCCAAAUGACCCUCAAGCAAUUUGGAAAAUCCAAAAUUCCAUGAGUUUUUAGAAUUAUCCAAACAUCAUUAUAGACUGAACAAAAAGAAAAACUGAAUUGUUCUGUCAUAUCUUUUGUUCUAGACUCUGUACAACAUUUAUACAAAUGAAAUUUGACUUUUGUCAAUUCCAUGAAAUCUGUAAUUUCCUAAAAAUUAGGAACUAAUUUAUUCUAUCCUAAAAUACAUUAGGAGUAAAUUAUUCUAUCCUAAAAUAGAGCAGAAAUCUUGGGAUAUAGCAGAAUCAUGGGAUAUACAUAGAAAAAGAUAUUCUAGAUUUUCAACACUCCCUUUCAAGAUGGUGAAUAGAUAUUUUCCAUUCCCAUCUUGCAUGUAAUGUCUUCAAAGUUGGAAGUUGGCAUUCCCUUAGUUAAGACAUCUGCCAAUUGAUUAUUUGAUGCUACAUAUGGAGUGCAAAUCAUGCCACUGUCCAGCUUUUCUUUAAUAAAAUGUCUAUCAACUUCGAUGUGCUUUGUGCGAUCAUGUUGCACUGGAUUGUGUGCAAUGUUGAUGGCAGACUUGUUGUCGCAAUAGAGUUUCAUAGGUCCUUCCCACUUGAUUUUAAGAUCAUCAAGUAUUAUUUUGAGCCAUAGCAAUUCACAAACUCCAUGAGCCAUAGCUCUAAACUCUGCUUCCGCACUUGAUCUUGCAACAACUGAUUGCUUCUUACUCCUCCAUGUCACUAGGUUCCCACCAAGAAAUGUACAAUAUCCUGAAGUUGAUCUACGAUCUACAAUAGAACCUGCAUAAUCAGCAUCAGUAUAUGCCUCUAUGAGCAAUCCUUCAUUUUUCUUGAACAAAAUUCCUCUACCCGGUGUCCCUUUGAGGUAGAAUAGAAUUCUAUUGACAGCCUGCAAGUGUUUCUCUCUUGGAUCAUGCAUAAAUUGGCUUACUACACUUACAGCAAAUGCUAUGCCCGGCCUUGUAUGGGACAAGUAUAUCAGUUUCCCAACCAACCGCUGAUAUCUUCCCUUAUCUGCUGUGCUAUCAUCCUUCUCUUCAUUCAAUCUCAAGUUAGGCUCAAUGGGUGUGCUUGCUGCCUUGCAUCCAAGAUUGCCUGUUUCUUUAAGCAAGUCUAAGACAUACUUUUAUUGGGAAACAAAGAUGCCUUUGCUUGAGUAUGCCACCUCAAUGCCUAAAAAUACUUCAGCCUCCCUAGUUCUUUAAUUUCAAACUCCUUUGCUAAGCACUUUUUGAGUGUUUCUCUUUUAAUUGGAUCAUUCCCGGUGAUGAUGAUGUCAUCUACAUAUACAAGUAGAGCUGUAACACCUCCUUUUGAAUAUUUUAUGAACAAAGUAUGAUCUCCUUGACUUUGUUUGUAUUGCAUUGCUAGCAUCACUUUAGUAAAUCUUCUGAACCAAGCCCUUGGCGAUUGUUUUAAGCCAUAUAAAGCUUUCUUUAACCUGCACACUUUCUUUUCAAAAAACAUUUCAUUGAAACCCGGUGGGGGUUCCAUGUACACCUCUUCUUCUAAAUCCCCAUGUAAGAAUGCAUUCGUAACAUCAAAUUGCUGUAAACACCAACCAAAGUUAGCGGCUAAAGACAAAAGAACACGCACAGUAUUCAUUUUUGCAACGGGUGCAAAGGUCUCUUGGUAAUCUAUCCCAUAUGUCUGUGUAUAUUCUUUUGCGACCAACCGAGCUUUAUGCCUUUCUAAUGAACCAUCAGCUCUAUAUUUCAAAGUAAACACCCAUUUACACCCCACUGUUUUCUUUCCUUUGGGCAGGUUUACAAUUUCCCAAGUCUUAUUUCUCUCUAGGGCAUUCAUUUCCUCUUUCAUAGCAUGUAACCAGUUCUUAUUUCUAAGUGCCUCUUGUAGUGUUUGUGGGAUUGAAAUGGAGUUGAUGGUGGUAAGGAAAGUUUUAUGUUGUGGAGAGAGUCUAUGAAAAGACACGAAAUUUGAGAUUGGAUGCUUAGUGCAUUCUCGUGUUCCUUUUCGAACAGCAAUAGGCAAGUCUAAAUCAUUAAAUUCACAAGGAGCAGAGUCAUAUUGAACACACAAAGGAACAGAAUUUUCAGUACCUGAUUGUGGUUCAGAUUCUUGGAUUUGCACGGGUUCAGAAAUAUGAACUUUCUUCCUUGAGUAGACCUUGAGUGGUGUAGUUGGAUUUAAACCAGAUUUUCCCUCAGCUCCAAGGUCAGGUUCAAUUUCUUUACUGGCAUGUUCAACUUCAAGUUCAGGUUCAGGUUCACUGCUAGUAUGUUCUCCUUUAGAAUUUGGUGUAUGGUCAGGCUUGAAAGACUUUAAAUUUAGUGUAGGACUUUGAAGAUCAAGGAGAAAUUCCUUAUCUUCCCAAGAACUCUUCCCCUGGAGAUGAGGAUUGUUACUUUGAGAGUAAGGUUCAUUUUCAACAAAUGUGACAUCCAUGGAGGUAAAAAAUUUUUUUGAAGGAGGAUGAUAACACUUAUAUCCUUUCUUUGUGUUUGAGUAUUCCACAAAAAUACAUUUUAAAGCUCUUGGAUCAAGUUUCCCUCUUUGGUGUGCAUGAACAUGUACAAAAGCAACACAACCAAACACUUUUGGUGACAAUGUGCAAGAGACAUUAAAAUCAGGGUAAAAAAAAGAAAGAGCAGCAAUGGGACUUUGAUUAUUUAGUACUUUUGAAUGUACUCUAUUUAUCAAAUGUGCAGCAGUUAAAACAGCCUCCCCCCAAAAAGUUUUUGGAACUUUAUGUUGAAACAAAAUUGCUCGAGUCACAUUGAGUAAAUGUCUAUUUUUUCGUUCAGCAAUUCCAUUUUGUUGGGGUGUAUCUACACAAGAUGACUCAUGUAUUAUACUCUCUUUUUGGAAAAAAGAUGAGAGAAUUUGAUUAAAAUAGUCUCUUGCAUUAUCAGAUCUUACUCUUUUAAUCAAACUUCCAAAUUGUGUACAAAUCAUUUUAUGAAACAUUGGAAAAAUACUGCUUACUUCUGAUUUUUCUUUCAUAAGAAAUAACCAAGUAGUUCUAGUACAAUCAUCAAUGAAUGUGACAAACCAUUUUGCUCCAGAAAUACUAUAAAUUCUACAAGGCCCCCAAAUAUCAAUAUGUAUCAAAGAGAAAGGUCUAGUAGAUCUUGUAUUACUCAAUGGAAAUGAUAGUCUAUGAUGUUUAGCAAUUUCACAUGUAUCACAAUGAAAACUACUAACAUCUUCAUUCUUGAAAAGUGAAGGAAACAUGCUUUUAAGUAGAAUAAAAGAUGGAUGACCAAGACGGAAAUGAUGAAGCCAAAUUUCAGAUUUAUUAUUUGAGGAGCAGGUGAGGGAUAACUGAUUUUUGUUCUUCUUGUUGCCACUCAUCUCCUCGAGGUAAUAAAACCCAUCAUUCAACUUAGCAAGUCCAAUCAUCCUCCCCGUAACUAAAUCCUGAAAAACACAAUGAGUAGAAUAGAAAAUUACUCUACAGUUCAAAUCUUUGGUAAUUUGAUGGAUGGAUAUGAGAUUGGAGGACAAUUUUGGGACAUGCAACACACUAUUUAGGGACAAAGAAUUUGAUAGAUUUACUGUCCCUUGGCCUGCAACAGUUAUAGGAGAUCCAUCCGCAACAGUAAUUUUUCUAUUUCCAGGACAUGGGUUGUAUGUUCUAAAUCUGAUUGGGCUGUGAGUCAUAUGGUCAGAAGCUCCUGAGUUGAUGACCCAAGAGCCUAGAGAAGACAUGCUUGAGGCACUUAAAGCAUAAGAGUUAAGGUACUUACCUGAUUGAGCCAAUGAACACGUACUAGAGGACUUUUCAAGGGAAUUUAAGAGGUUUCUUAGCUUUUCGAUUUCUUCUUUCUUGAAUUCUCCCAUACCAACCUGGUUGGAUUUUUCUUGUGUUUGGUCUUCUCCAGCAGUUAAGUGGGCUUUUCCCCCUUUGAAUCCUCCUUUACGACUAAGGACUUGUUCCUUCCCAUGGAGUUUGAAGCAAUCAUCUCGCGUAUGGCGUGAUUUUUUGCAGUACGUGCACCAAAUUGUGUCUUUAUUUGACUUUGUAGAAAUCAUUGCCGAGCCUUCUAAUGUUUUAGGCUCUAACAUGACUUCUCGCCUAUUCUCUUCAGCUCGAAUCAAUGAUAUUGUCUCAUUCAGAGAUGAUAAUCUUUCCUUCCCCAAUAUCUGGACUCUGACCUGAUCAAAUUCCACAUUCAGACCUGCAAAGAAGUCAUAAACUCUAUCCUUUUCGAUAAAGUUUUUCAAGGUGGCUGCAUCUUCACUACACACCAUCUGAACACACCGAUAUUGGUCCAGUUCCUGCCAUAGAUUUUGCAGAAGGUUGGCAUAUUGAGUAGCAGAAAGGUUGCCCUGUUUAGUGGCUGAGAUCUUUGUUUUGAUCUCAUAGAUUAGGGCAGCAUCUCCUGCCUUUGAAUAGGUCUGUUGAAUAGUAGUCCAUAUAUCUUGAGCUGUUGAUAGGAACAUGCAAGUAUCGCUUAUUUCAGGUAACAUGGAGUUCCACAGCCAUGACAUAACCAUAGAAUCCUCUUCAUCCCAAGCAGCGAAUUUAGGAUCUCCCUAUUUCGGUCCAGUUCCAAGCAAGUGGCUGAUUUUGCCCUUUCCUUUGAGAAAUGUUUGAACAAAUUGUGACCACUUCAAAUAGUUUUUCCCGUUGAGCCUGUAGGCUGCCUGGAUACUUUGCAAAUCCCCUGUUUGUGGAAUAUUUGAGGUCUCUUCUGAUUUGGUAUUGGAGUGGAUUUCUGAUGUUUCAGUUUCAGACAUGGUGGAGGUUUCAAAGAAAAAUUGGCAAUGAAGGCCUAAUGAAAAAAAAAUCAGCAAUGAAGGCUGGAAAUUGCACUUGGCAAUAAAGACUUGAAAAGAGGAAAGCACUCAGCAAUGAAGGCUGACAAGAAGAGGUCCCAAGAGCAAAAGCUCUGAUACCAUGAACAAAAAGAAAAACUGAAUUGUUCUGUCAUAUCUUUUGUUCUAGACUCUGUACAACAUUUAUACAAAUGGAAUUUGACUUUUGUCAAUUCCAUGAAAUCUGUAAUUUCCUAAAAAUUAGGAACUAAUUUAUUCUAUCCUAAAAUACAUUAGGAGUAAAUUAUUCUAUCCUAAAAUAGAGCAGAAAUCUUGGGAUAUAGCAGAAAUCAUGGGAUAUACAUAGAAAAAGAUAUUCUAGAUUUUCAACAUAGACCCCUAUGAACUCUGCAUGAGCUCCUGUUAUUCACCUGUGUCUGUCAUUGAAAUUUAGACAGAUACCAAAAUAAGUUGAGUCUUCCAAUAUUUCCAGGGGACAGAAACACUUGAACAGCAGAUAAGCUUAAUGUGUAAGCACAAAGUAACUACUAAGUAUCACGAUCCAUUGUGCUUCUUGUGCACAAAAAGCAAAAUUUGUGUCAUUUAAAAGAAAUAACUUGAGGCAACCCAGAAACACUUACUUUGUAAAAGUAAAUUUGUUCAUCAUCAGCAAAUUAAAGGUUGUGAUUUUCAGUAACAAAACAACCUAAAAAUGGGUAAACUUGUACGCAAAUAGAAACAAGUAUCUUACUUUUCACAUGUCACCAAUUUCACCAAGGCUUGUUUGUUUUCUCCUGCUUCAAAAUAAGAAAAG